UCCCCCUCCUUAAUGGC
rnacentral:tRNA from 1 species